rnacentral:rRNA from 1 species
GACGUAGGGGUGCGACGUUGUCCGGAUUUAUUGGGCGUAAAGACGCUCGUAGGCGGCUCGUCGCGUCGACCGUGAAAACUUGGGGCUUAACCCUAAGCUUGCGGUUGAUACGGGCGGGCUAGAGUUCGGUAGGGGAGACUGGAAUUCCUGGUGUAGCGGUGAAAUGACGCAGAUAUCAGGAGGAACACCGGUGGCGAAGGCGGGUCUCUGGGCCGAUACUGACGCUGAGACGCGAAAGCGUGGGGAGCGAACAGG